UUUUUUUUUUUUUUUUGAGAGUGAGAGAGAGGGAGGGAGUGGGGUUGGGGGCGGGGGAGAGGGAAAGGGACAAAAAUAAUCUUAAGCAGGCUCUAUGAUGAGCAUGGAGCCCAACACGGGGCUUGAUCUCACAACCUUGAGAUCAUGACCUAAGCCAAAAUCAAGAGUUAGUGACUUAACUGAGCCACCCAGGCAUCCCUACUUAUAUAUGCUUAUCGAGUACCUACUGUAUUGUACGCAUGGCGCUAAAUGCUGGAGAAGUGCAUCAAGUAGGAGGAGUGCUUUUAGCAGUAAAUGACAGGACACAUAACAGACGUAAACCAUAAGUACAUUUAUUUGUUUAACAAGCAGUCUGGAGGGAGAUAGGAUACUGAUGUCUUCAAGGACCCAGGUUUUCCAACCUUCUUCUCCACUGUCCUUGACAUGUUGACUUUGAGUCUAUGUUUGUUACCUCAUGGUCUUGAAUGGUGAUAACACUGACCGAGAUGGAUGUUAUAAGCUGACGUGUGUCCCCACAACAUUCCUAUGUUGGAGUCCUAAACCCGAGGAUGUGGCUGUAUUUGGAGAUGGGGUCUUUAAAGAGGUGAUUAAGGUUGAAUGAGGUCAUAUGGGUGGGCUCUAAUCCAACAUGACUGGUGUCCUUAUAAGGGGAAAUCAGGGGAUCCCUGGGUGGCGCAGCGGUUUGGCGCCUGCCUUUGGCCCAGGUCACGAUCCUGGAGACCCGGGAUCAAAUCCCACGUCGGGCUCCCAGUGCAUGGAGCCUGCUUCUCCCUCUGCCUGUGUCUCUGCUUCUCUCUCUCUCUCUCUCUCUCUGUAUGACUAUAAUAAAUAAAUUAAAAAAAAAAGGGGGGGGGGAAUCAGGACCCAGAAAGGCAGAGACACCUGGGAUGUACAUGCAUGGAGGAAAGACCAUGUGAGGCCAGUGGGAGGCAGCCAUCUGCAAGCUAAGGAGAGAGGCCUCAGGAGAAACCAACCCUGUCAACACCUUGAUCUUGGACUUCCAGCCUCCAGACUAUGAGAAAAUAAAUUUGUUGGCUUUUUUUUUUUUUAAAGAUUUUUAUUUAUUUAUUUGAGAGAGAUUGAGAGCAUGAGCAAGUAUGGAUGAGGGGCAGAAGGAGAGGAAGAGGCAAACUCCCUGCUGAGCAGGGAGCCUGAUAUGGAGAUCAAUCCUAGGACCCUGGGUUCAGGACCUGAGCCAAAGGCAGAUGCUUAACCGACUGAGCCACCCAGGUGCCCCAAUACAUUUGCUGUUUAAGCUGUCUAGUCUGUGCAUUUUGUU
rnacentral:lncRNA from 1 species